rnacentral:rRNA from 1 species
UACGAAGGGGGCUAGCGUUGUUCGGAAUCACUGGGCGUAAAGGGCGCGUAGGCGGCUUUAUAAGUCGGGGGUGAAAGCCUGUGGCUCAACCACAGAAUUGCCUUCGAUACUGUAGAGCUUGAGACCGGAAGAGGUAAGUGGAACUGCGAGUGUAGAGGUGAAAUGCGCAGAUAUCAGGAGGAACACCAAUGGCGAAGGCAGCUCGCUGGGACGGUACUGACGCUGAGACGCGAAAGCGUGGGGAGCAAACAGG